rnacentral:rRNA from 1 species
CCUACGGGAGGCAGCAGUGAGGAAUAUUGGUCAAUGGACGAGAGUCUGAACCAGCCAAGUAGCGUGAAGGAUGACUGCCCUAUGGGUUGUCAACUUCUUUUAUAUGGGAAUAAAAUGUUCCACGUGUGGGAUGUUGUAUGUACCAUAUGAAUAAGGAUCGGCUAACUCCGUGCCAGCAGCCGCGGUAAUACGGAGGAUCCGAGCUUUAUCCGGAUUUAUUGGGUUUAAAGGGAGCGUAGGUGGAUUGAUAAGUCAGUUGUGAAAGUUUGCGGCUCAACCGUAAAAUUGCAGUUGAAACUGGCAGUCUUGAGUGGGCGAGAAGUAUGCGGAAUGCGUGGUGUAGCGGUGAAAUGCA